rfam:Felis catus isolate Cinnamon breed Abyssinian chromosome C2, whole genome shotgun sequence.
AGCUGGUCUCCCUGAACGCGCCCGAUCUCGUCUGAUCUCAGAACCUAGGCAGGGUCGGGCCUGGUUAGUACUUGGAUGGGAGAGAAGCUGGUCUCCCAUCUC